rnacentral:rRNA from 1 species
AGUGAACGCUGGCGGUAGGCCUAACACAUGCAAGUCGAACGGCAGCACAGUAAGAGCUUGCUCUUACGGGUGGCGAGUGGUGGACGGGUGAGGAAUACAUCGGAAUCUACUUUUUCGUGGGGGAUAACGUAGGGAAACUUACGCUAAUACCGCAUACGACCUACGGGUGAAAGCAGGGGAUCUUCGGACCUUGCGCGAUUGAAUGAGCCGAUGUCGGAUUAGCUAGUUGGCGGGGUAAAGGCCCACCAAGGCGACGAUCCGUAGCUGGUCUGAGAGGAUGAUCAGCCACACUGGAACUGAGAUACGGUCCAGACUCCUACGGGAGGCAGCAGUGGGGAAUAUUGGACAAUGGGCGCAAGCCUGAUCCAGCCAUACCGCGUGGGUGAAGAAGGCCUUCGGGUUGUAAAGCCCUUUUGUUGGGAAAGAAAAGCAGCAGGUUAAUACCCCGCUGUUCUGACGGUACCCAAAGAAUAAGCACCGGCUAACUUCGUG